rnacentral:rRNA from 1 species
AUUGAACGCUGGCAGCAUGCCUUACACAUGCAAGUCGAACGGUAACAGGUCUUCGGAUGCUGACGAGUGGCGAACGGGUGAGUAAUACAUCGUAACGUGCCUAGUAGUGGGGGAUAACUACUCGAAAGAGUGGCUAAUACCGCAUGAGAUCUACGGAUGAAAGCAGGGGAUCGCAAGACCUUGUGCUACUAGAGCGGACGAUGGCAGAUUAGGUAGUUGGUGGGAUAAAAGCUUACCAAGCCGACGAUCUGUAGCUGGUCUGAGAGGACGAUCAGCCACACUGGGACUGAGACACGGCCCAGACUCCUACGGGAGGCAGCAGUGGGGAAUUUUGGACAAUGGGCGCAAGCCUGAUCCAGCAAUGCCGCGUGCAGGAUGAAGGCCUUCGGGCUGUAAACUGCUUUUGUACGGAACGAAAAGGCCCGGGUUAAUACCCUGGGGUCAUGACGGUACCGUAAGAAUAAGCACCGGCUAACUACGUGCCAGCCGCCGCCGUAA